rnacentral:lncRNA from 13 species
CUUGAGUCUUUCUAAUUUCCUGGACCAUUGACAGAAUCAGCAAGAACAGGUGGUAGAAUUCAUAUCAGGUGGAAUUGAGAAUCUGGAGAUUUGGUCCCAAGUCUGUCUCUGAAUCACUUGUGACCUCGAAACAAUCACAGAUGGGGUCUUAUGGUGUUGCCCAGGCUGGUCUCGAACUCCUUGAGCUCAAGUGAUCCUCACACCUUGGCAUCCCAAAAUGCUAGGAUUACAGGUAAAUUAUAUUAAUAAUUUCUAUAACCACAAUUUGGGACAAAACAACUCAACAUGCUUAAAAAUCCUAGAUAAUUUGGCAGAACCAACCAGUAUGGCAUAAAUGGAACAUUUGAAAAUAAGGAGAACAUAUUUUCUCUCAUAGAAUUAUGUUAUUUAGAGUAAGGUGAUUAAUCAUGUGUGUCCACUUGACUGGCCACAAGGUGCCUAGACUAAACAUGAUUUCUGUUGUGUCCGUCUAGGUGUUUCGGCGUGAGAUUAGCAUUCAGACUGGUGGACUCAGUAAAGCAGACAGCCUUUUCCAGUGUGAGUGGGUAUCAUUCAAUCGUUGAAGGCAUGAAGAGAACAAAAAAGUGAGGAAGAAUUCGCCUUCUUUCUUGCUGCCCACCUGCUUGGGCUGGGACAUCUCAUCUCACCUUCUCCAGCCUUUGGAUGAGGAUUUACACCCUGGUUCUCAGGCCUUCAGGCUUGAACUGGAGCUACACUAUCAGCUUUCCUGGGUCUCCAGAUUGUGGAUGGCUUCGAGGCAAGCAGGGAGCACUUCUGCCUCACGGCUAUAAAUGUGGCUGUCGCCAACUUGCUAAAUGCUUCAUUGUUUCAUUUCGGCCUUCAUCAGCAGUGGGAAGAAGAACAUGUCUCCUCUCAACUGCCCAUAGGAGGAAGAAGGUGAGGGACCCAAGGAACAAAGCCAUCCAAGCUGAGCCCAGGCUAGAUCAGCUGGGUCCUGGCCCACACAGCAAUGUGCAAGUUUACUACAAAAAGGCAAAACAUCCAAAGAAGAGACUUCAAACAUCAAACAAACCAACCAGAAAUUCACGAAUUAUUGCUCGAGAUAAGUUUAUCAAGGUGAUCUGUGCUCAAUGUGUGGAUCUCAUGUCAGCAGCAUCAGCCUCACCUAGGGGCUUGUUAGAGCUGAAGAAUCUCAGAGUCCAUGGCAGAUUUCCUGAAUCAGGAGCUACAUUUUAACCAGAUCCUUGGGUGAUCUGAAAAUGCAGUAAAGUUUGGGAAGCACUGCUGUUGGUCAUUAAACAAUCUAAUGAACUAAGACUUUUGCUGAGCACCUGGUAGGUGGAGGGGGUCGAUUACACAAUUUAAACUGGCAGUCAUUUACAUCAGUACAAGUUGGCUGAGGUGGGAAUAAAAUGUUUGCUCAAGUGGUCUGUUGAUUUUUG